rnacentral:rRNA from 1 species
CAGGCUUAAUACAUGCAAGUCGAGGGGCAGCGCGGGUAGCAAUACCUGGCGGCGACCGGCAAACGGGUGAGGAACAUGUACGCAACCUUCCUUUAACUGGAGGAUAGCCCCUCGAAAGAGGGAUUAAUACUCCGUAAUAUAAUGAAGUGGCAUCACUUUAUUAUUAUAGCUCCGGCGGUUAAAGAUGGGCGUGCAUCUGAUUAGAUAGUUGGCGGGGUAACGGCCCACCAAGUCUGCGAUCAGUAACUGGUGUGAGAGCACGACCAGUCACACGGGCACUGAGACACGGGCCCGACUCCUACGGGAGGCAGCAGUAAGGAAUAUUGGUCAAUGGACGCAAGUCUGAACCAGCCAUGCCGCGUGGAGGAUUAAGGCCCUCUGGGUUGUAAACUCCUUUUAUCUGGGAAGAAAUGUUUUGAUUCUUCGGAACUUGACGGUACCAGAGGAAUAAGCACCGGCUAACUCCGUGCCAGCAGCCGCGGUAAUACGGAGGGUGCAAGCGUUAUCCGGAUUUACUGGGUUUAAAGGGUGCGUAGGCGGGCAGAACAGUCAGUGGUGAAAUCUCCGGGCUUAACCCGGAAACUGCCGUUGAUACUAUUUGUCUUGAAUAUUGUGGAGGUAAGCGGAAUAUGUCAUGUAGCGGUGAAAUGCUUAGAUAUGACAUAGAACACCAAUUGCGAAGGCAGCUUGCUACACAAUGAUUGACGCUGAUGCACGAAAGCGUGGGGAUCAAACAGGAUUAGAUACCCUGGUAGUCCACGCCCUAAACGAUGAUUACUCGACAUACGCGAUACACU